rnacentral:tRNA from 1 species
GCCGGGAUGGCGUAAUGGCAGCCGCAGUGGACUUAAAAUCCAUUGGGAGUAAUCCCGUGCGGGUUCGAGUCCCGCUCCCGGCA